rnacentral:rRNA from 1 species
GCCCAGCUUGCUGGGUGGAUUAGUGGCGAACGGGUGAGUAACACGUGAGCAACCUGCCCCUGACUCUGGGAUAAGCGCUGGAAACGGCGUCUAAUACUGGAUAUGUCCCGUCACCGCAUGGUGUGCGGGUGGAAAGAUUUUUCGGUUGGGGAUGGGCUCGCGGCCUAUCAGCUUGUUGGUGAGGUAAUGGCUCACCAAGGCGUCGACGGGUAGCCGGCCUGAGAGGGUGACCGGCCACACUGGGACUGAGACACGGCCCAGACUCCUACGGGAGGCAGCAGUGGGGAAUAUUGCACAAUGGGCGGAAGCCUGAUGCAGCAACGCCGCGUGAGGGAUGACGGCCUUCGGGUUGUAAACCUCUUUUAGCAGGGAAGAAGCGAGAGUGACGGUACCUGCAGAAAAAGCACCGGCUAACUACGUGCCAGCAGCCGCGGUAAUACGUAGGGUGCAAGCGUUAUCCGGAAUUAUUGGGCGUAAAGAGCUCGUAGGCGGUCUGUCGCGUCUGCUGUGAAAUCCCGAGGCUCAACCUCGGGCUUGCAGUGGGUACGGGCAGACUAGAGUGCGGUAGGGGAGAUUGGAAUUCCUGGUGUAGCGGUGGAAUGCGCAGAUAUCAGGAGGAACACCGAUGGCGAAGGCAGAUCUCUGGGCCGUAACUG